rnacentral:lncRNA from 1 species
GCAAAAUAUGUAUGGCAGGUGAUAAUUUUAUACCAUAGUUUGCAUAAAACUAAUAGGAAUUUAUUUUAGUACAUUGUGCACUUUGCGUUACUAUGGUGUAGGUGUUGUGGAUAAAGCUCAAUCCGGGGUUGUGAUGUGGUCUCACAGUGGGGUACAGUACAAGCUCUGGGCCUGAAAGGAUUUUGAUAAUGUGUUUCGUGACUGUCUUAGUUAAUUACCUAGAGUUAAACCCAUAAACUUUCAUCAGUUCCCCCCUACACCCAUGGUUUGUUUUGAAUUCAAGACAGGUUAUGUUUUGUUUUUCUGAGUCUCGCAAGUCCACUCAUUUUCCUAUAUCACUAAAUUCUUGAAUGGAGAAAAUAGUGCUUUAAUGGUAAAGUAUCACAUUACCUAUACAUACAGAGCCAAGGAAUUAGACACCUCUAUAUACAGGCCAUCUAUACACAAGGAAUUAGACACCUCUAUACACAGGCCAUCGGGGGGAAGAGCGCUCAAGGCCUCAGUGCUGAGUCACACUGAUGCUGUGCUGAUGUGGUCCAGAUCUGGACUAGGAGCAGCAGACCACCACACACACUAGAAAGGUAGAGCUUCUGCCUGGCAGUUCUCCACCCAGGAGCGUCUUAAAGUCAGUGGUGUGAGGGAGUGAGCUGAUUGAUGGUGGCGGUUCUUGGGAAUACAUUGAGGUUACUUUAGAACUAUAUGGAGUUUUUAAAAAGCUUAAUAUGUGUUGAGUUUUGGGUUUAGACUGUCUUAUAAACUUAGGCAGGAAGAAGUCUGACCUAAGAAGUUAUUUAUAAAGUUAGUAGGAUUGAAUGCGACUAUUUUAAAUUGUAUAUUUUAUUAGUGAUAUCUAAAAGCUGCUCAACUGCUAGCAGUUAGAAUUCGUAAAAGAUUGGAAUAUGAUGGCUUUGUUAAAUGUUUGUAUAUUUACAUAAUUUAAUCAUAAUUAAACAACCAAAUGAGUCCUUUUUAGUCUUCACAUUCCUUGGGUAAACAGUAACAUAGGGAAAUAAACAAUUCUAUGGGAUGUUUUGAUAUUUUUGUAUCUAGCUCAGCCUCAAAUGUGAAGCCAUGAUUGAAGUUCAGAAUGUUGAAGUAUAGAGAAUCCUCAGCUGCUGAAGAAUUUAAUUUCAUUGUUCCUAUGCCUUCAGAGCCACACUAGGCACAUGACGAAGUGAAGUGUAUAGUAAUGCUUUCUAAUUGGAGCAAUACUUUCUGCCCACAGUAAGGUCCAGUGCUACUGCCCAAGAAACUGAGGCAGGAGAUCAUGAGUUCAAGGCCAGCUUGAACUGCAUAACAAGACCCUUUCCCAAAUGGUGUGUUUGUGUGCAUGUGUCGUCAAAGUUAAGUUUUUGAUAUUUGGAUGUGAAAGUUAAAAGUCUCAACAAGUAGCAUUCAAUUGUAGCUUCUACUUGAAAUUUCAUUUUCACUUUUAAGCUAUUGUCUUUAAUCUCUGUCGAGUGGAAAACUGACACUUGAUUAUAAAACGGAACACAGUGGACAUGUGCCAGCAGCUGUCCAAAGCUCACCAGUUAUCACCAGGAGCACAAACCAAGAGUAGCUUGGUUUCCUGGUAGUAGCAGUAAAUGUUUUGUGAGGACCUGCACCAUGUUUUUAGUAACAUGGUUUUGUUCUUUAUAUGUUGGAAAGCUUGCUUAGAACAUCUCCCAAAAAUGAUUUGGUUUUCUUAGGGCAUUUUUAAAACCAACUUUGAAAGUAUCAAAGAGGUACUAUGUGAUUGUACUGUCGGACUUAACAGCAUCAGUGAGUCAGAUUCGGAGAGAUUUUAUCUAGUAGGUUAAGGUUCUGGGUUGAAGCCAUCGGGCCUUUAAAUUCUAGUAUCAUAUCUUGGGGUGGUUUAGAAUGUUGGUUUUGCUCAGGUCUUCAGAAGAGAGAGACGAGGAGAAAACUUACUUGAAACAAAAUUCUUUACCCUUACCGCCGAGGGUUGCGGGGAGAUUGGGACUAGCCUUUUUAGUCACUUGUCCGUGCUUGGUGCUCAUUGAGUGAUUUGGAAAUGCUCACACGGGGAUGAAAAGCUAUAGAGUUGUACUCUGUAUGAUACAGUAGCGGCCCAUGUGUUACUAUUCUGUGAUAAGCUAUACUCUGGAAAGUUGCUUUGCUCGUUUCAUAGAUAUUCACAUUUAAACAAACUGCAACUGCUUGUUAGACGAGGGCAGCUCAAUGUGUGUGUACUGUACUCUGGUGUUAAGACGUGUAUCUGCUUGCAAUCAUUGCCAUGUGUAACCAAGCGAGGCUUUCCUAAGAGACGUGGAAAUAAACUCCUGGUUCCUUAUUCUAGAAAUAAAAUCCAUGUUUUCCUUCAGAGUUUAUACCGC